rnacentral:lncRNA from 1 species
CCCCCCCAAGACUACCUUCCUGACUUUGCAGUGUGUCCACAGCUUCCUCCCUGGAAAGGCAUGAAGAGCUACUUUGAGCCCAAUCCCCAGCUUCAUCAGUUCCUGGAAGCCCUGCCCAACCAAGCGAGGGGAACGCAGGGCGUCUUCACCCUGCUCCUUUCAUCCUCCACGGAUCUCUAAGCACCAACUGGUUCAUCACCCCAAUGACGCGGACCCUUUUAUGAGGCUGCUUUCAUGUCAGCCGCUUGGGAGUGCCAUCUCAGCGUUAAGCCUAGAAAGGAUGACAUGGCGCGCCAGCCCCUGCCCCGGAGUUUAUAAGGCAGCUCAUGGGGUGAGGUCCCUUUUCCUCAGUGUCCCCUGUACUCCUACUUCUCAUAAACUCUACCCAGCACGCUUGUCUGGCCAGAUGUUGUCUGGAUUGGGAAGACAGCAUAAUUAUCUUUGUAGUACCACUACCACACACAACAGUGUUGGAUUAAAUUGAGGCCCUCUGAGGUUAAAUGUGGGGAGGAGACGACCUUGAAAUUGUAAUUUAAAGCCAAAAGGAACGAAAAUAAGACAAUGGAAUUUAAAUUUCCCUUAAGGAAAGUGUGUGUCAAAGUCCCUAACCUUAUUUGUAGGUCCUUAUCAUUACUGACGGAGUGGAAACUACCUGGGCCACUGGAUAGAGAAUGAUAGCUGGACCUCAGUGAAUUGAAAUGCUGUGACCCUUUAAUAUGGUUCCUCCUGUCAUGGUGAUCCCCAGCCGUAAAAUUAUUUUUUGUUGCUACUUUGUAGCUAUAAAUUUUCUACUCUUAUGAAUUGUAAUGUAAAUAUUUUUGGAGAUAGAGGUUUGCCAAAAAAAGUCAUGACCCACACAGGUUGAGAACCACUGCCUUAAUUAACGAAUUUAAUUUUUCACCCAUUUUUCAACAACGGGGGGGGGGGAAACAAUUUUUUUCUUCCUUCCUGAAUUUCUUAUGUUAGAUUUCUUCUGUUCAUCUGUUCAACAUGAAACCUGGGGUAAAUCACACAGACCCACUGCCCUUAGCUUGAAACCUUGUCAUCAAUGCUUUUUGUCCCCACACCACACAUCCCCCAAGUCUUUUCAUCCCAAACUCUUAAACAAUAAACUUAGAGACUGCAAAUAGUCUCCUAACUGAUCCUCAGUUUCAUCUUUGCCAAGCCUUGGCUCUUCCGAGAGAAUGACCUUUCUUGCAAAAGUGGAUGGAGUGUGUCAUUUCCCUGUAAUAAACUUACCAAUGGCGUGC